AGCUGAUUCCCCUUAUAUCCCAUUGGCCACAGUAGAAUCAUGUGGCCAGAUCCUAGCUGCAAGAGGGGUUGAGAAGGAGCAAAGCAGAAUGUCCACAUGAAAGAAUCCAAUCGUGUGAUACACCACCCUGCAGAUAAUAUACUGCCAAGCUAUGAUUAUCCAGUGCAAGUCUGGUUAACAAGAAAGAUUGUGAGGUGGAAAGGGAUUUUCUCAUUCUUCAGGGCUCCAGGACAGAAAUGAGAACAAGUGGUAGAAACCACAAGCAGGAAGAACCUGGUCCAUCCUAAAAAGAACUUUCUAAUAACGAGAUCUAACAGGAGAAUUAGGCUGCUUUAUCAAGUAGUGAGGCACCUGGCAUUGGAGGCAUUCAAGUAGAGACUGUGUGAUCAUCUGUUGAAAUAGCUGAAGAAGAGAUAUCUAUUAUAAGAGUCAGAGGAGGUGAUAGUUUUAAGGAACAUUUUAAUGAUGAAAUUCUUGUGUUCUGAUUCCAUCACUGGAAGACUGAAAGUUAAUGUAUGGUGUGGUCGUGGUGGUGGUGGUGGGUGUGUGUACACAUGUACACACGUUUGUGUGUUGUAUGUGUCAGCUCACUUAAUCCUCAGGGCAGCAAUCUGGAUUGGGUAACAUUAUUUAGCCUUUUUAACAGAAAAUGGAACUUGCCAGAGAGGCCAAACAAUGUGCCCAACUCAGCUAGUGAGUAACUGAGUCUGAAUUCAAACUUCUAUUUCUUCAGUUUCAAAGUACCCCCUCUUCCUAAUAUAUUACACUGCCUCCCGCAAAGAGACAUCCUUUUGAUAGAAUUAUUUUUCUCCAUUCGCAUUCCUCUGAGAAAGAAGGAUACAUAAAUCCACCACCUGCUAGCAAGGCUCAGGUUGUGUACUCAGCAUCUAUUCCACCAUACUAGCCACCUUGAUGAUUUAGAAACUCUAGCCUGUGCACUGGGGUGGAACUAGUUAUACAUGCACCACCAGGAGUGUUGAUUAAAAAUGAAUAAUCUCGGCCGGGUGUGGUGGCUCAGGCCUGUAAUCCCAGCACUUUGGGAGGCCGAGAUGGGCGGAUCACCUGAUGUUGGGAGUUUGAGACCAGCCUGACCAACAUGGAGAAACCCCGUCUCUACUAAAAAUACAAAAUUGGCUGGGUGUGGUGGCGCAUGCCUGUAAUCCCAGCUACUUGGGAGGCCGAGACAGGAGAAUCGCUUGAACCUGCGAGGCGGAGGUUGCAGUGAGCUGAGAUCGCCCCAUUGCACUCCAGCCUGGGCAAUAAGAGUGAAACUCUGUCUCAAAAAUAAAAAAAAAUAAAAAUUAAAAAAAUGAAUAAUCUCAGGCCCCAUACCUGGAGGCUUGGAUUCAGAAGAUCUCUGGACUGGAGCCUAAGAAUAUAUAUCUUUGACAAGCUUCUCAGGUUUUUCUGAUGUUCAACAAUAAUAGAAACUUUUGUCCAUGAUCAGUGUGGAAUUUAAUACAAUGGCCCUCAGCAAUUUUUUCAUUCAUUCAUGAAUUUCUUAUUUCAUUUUCUUAUACUCAGAGAGCUGAAUAUGAAGGAACUACCAUAUGCCAGAAUCUGUUCUGGGCACCAAAAAGUUCAUCAAUGAACAAAAUUGACUAAAUAAAACCCUUGGCCACAUGAAGCUUCCAUUCUAUUGGGUGUGGGUAUAUUCAUAUCCAAUUAAAUUUUAUAUAUUUUGAAGUAGGAAAAAUAAUUUAGAUAUUUUAUUUCAAAACUGAAGGACUGAGGGGAAAGUGUUUAAUAAGUAAUGGUCACUAUAGGCUGGGAGAAGGAUAGAAUGGAAAAUGGCUGUUAAUAGGUAUGGGGUUUCUUUUUGAGAUGAUGAAAAUGUUCUAGAAUGAGAUAGUGGCAAUGGUUGUACAACUUUGUGAGUACACGAAAAACCACCGAGUUGUCUACUUUAAUAAGGUGAAUUUUAAGUAUGUGAAUUACAUCAAUUAAAAAAAUUAGAUAUAAAUUAGUGAAUAAAGAUGUAGAGACACUAUUAAUAAAUCACUCAUGCAUUGCUAUUGGGAAUGUAAAUGAGGCAGCCACUCUGAAACCUCGUUUGGUGCUUCUUUUCAAAGCUAGACAGGAACUUACCAUAUGAACCAACAACUCCACCCUUGGGUGUAUAUCUGAAAGAAAUGAAGGCUCAUUCAGGAACUUGGACAUGAAUAUUCAUGGAAGCUUUAUUCAUAAUAGCCUCAAGGUGGAAACGUCUCACAUGUCCUUUAAUGGAUAAAUUGUUAAACAAACUGUGGAAUGUUCAUACUACAGAAUACAAAUAGUUAAUACAAAGGCAUGAACUACUGGUAGAAAUGAACUAGUGAUGAGAGCAAGUGGUAGAAGGCACAAGAGAGAACUUAGUGCAUCUUAAGAACUUUUUAAUAAUGGGCUCUAACAGGAGAAUUGGGCUGCUUAAUGCACUCAACAACUUAGAUGGACCUCAAGGAAAUCAUGCUAAGUCUUAAAAGUAUGUCGAAAGGAAUGAUUCCAUUUAUGUAACAUGCAUGAAAUAAUCUAAUUAUAGAGAUGGUUAGGGAUGGGGUGAAAGGAUGCACGUGGCUAUAGAGGGAUAACAUGAGGGAGUCUUACAAUGAUGCAAUUGGGUAACUUGAUGUGGUGAUGGUUACACAAGGGUAGAGAUGUGACAUCAUUGCAGGUAAUAACACAUGCACCCCACCUUCCCAUGAGUGCAUAUGUAACUGUGCAAUCUGAAUAAAGCCUGUGGAGGUCUGUGGAUUGUACCCAUGUGGACUUCUUGGUUUUGGUGUUGUACUGUAGUUGUAAAAAAUGUUAACGUUGUGAAAGAGUGGAGAAUGGUGCAUGGGAAUUACCUGUAAAUUUCUUUUCACGUUUCUGUGAAUUUACAAUUAUUUAAAAAUAAAAAGGUAAAAGAAAG
rnacentral:lncRNA from 10 species